GACGUAGGGCGCGAGCGUUGUCCGGAUUUAUUGGGCGUAAAGAGCUCGUAGGCGGCUUGUCGCGUCGACUGUGAAACCCGCGGCUCAACUGCGGGCCUGCAGCCGAUACGGGCAGGCUAGAGUUCGGUAGGGGAGACUGGAAUUCCUGGUGUAGCGGUGAAAUGCGCAGAUAUCAGGAGGAACACCGAUGGCGAAGGCAGGUCUCUGGGCAUUAACUGACGCUGAGGAGCGAAAGCGUGGGGAGCGAACAGG
rnacentral:rRNA from 1 species